rnacentral:lncRNA from 1 species
AUCUUAUUCGACUUCAGCAAAAGAGUUUACUUUUUAAUUGUACAUAUUGAUAUAUGUUUAAAUAAUCACAUUUGAAGACGACAAGUGAUAAAAUUUAAAAUGGCUACUUUAUUAGCGAAGCAAUUGAAAAGGCUAAGAAUUUUACAAACUACACAAUUGGCGCAAACAAGAAAACGUUUUAGUCUGUUAUUUCAUCCUAAGCUGGACAAAGGUAUUCCGUAAGAGUAUAGUUUCUAGCCAGAACGUUGGAGGAAAUUUAAGGUGAGCCAUUACAAAAAUAUUUUUAAUUGUAGUUAAUUUAUCAUUGAUUUAAUACACCAUUCUUUUAAGACAAAUUCGUCGAAAUAAACUUUAUCUUGCUUAUAUAUAAAAAUUAUGUAUGAAAAUAAACAAUAAAGAGAUGUGUACAAAUGUAUGAUAUAUAUUAAGAAAGAAAUGAUAUGUACGAAUGUAUGAUUAUAUAUGAAGAAAAAAAGAAUUUUUAUAAAGCAUCUUUUAAUCUGUUAUAAA